GCUCGUCGAUACGAUCUCGUGCAUAUGUGGAACGCAAAAAUCGGAGUUCGUAUGAGAAAGUUAUGAUCAAUUGAAAUUUGGGGAAAUUUCUAUAAAUAGCAAAAAAUCCCGAAAAUGGAAAUUGUCUGCAGAUUUUUCUCUCCCGAGCUCGGCUACUGUAGCCAUUUCGCCUCCUUCAUUCUUCCUCCUCCGUCCACAAUAGGUCGAAUUGUUGAGUGGGUUUUGUUCACCACACUCCCACCUACACGUCUGUGGAAGCCUUUUAUCAUGGGAAGCACUGUGGAGGCCGUUGCAACCCCGGGAAGUUGCUCCGCCGAGCUAAAAACGCCCAAAAUCGCCGACCUUGGUUCUCCCAAUUCCGGCCACCAUAGCUCGAGUUCUUUGAGGGCUUUUCUAGCCCAGAGGCCGUAGAUGCUUCCCUCCAAGCGGCUUGCAACGAUUUCACCUGUGGAGCUCGAAUUUUGAAGAUUGGGAAACUAGGGUUCUUCGGGUUUCAAAACUUGCGAGGUGAUUGACGGUCUCCCUUGGGUGAAUGAUUUCGGUGUGUAUUGUGUUAAAUUGAAGACGCAGCGGGAAUAUCGAGCGGGUAAUCCUACAGGUCAGGUGAAUCGGGAAGGUGAUCGAGCUGCUUAGAGAAAUUGCAUUGGGUAAAUCUGGAUUUAUAUUGUGAGGUUUGUUAUGCUCUUUUGAGUAUUGUAAAUUAAGUGUGAGAGUGUGAUGUAAUAAGUAAAUUGAAGAUUGGUUUUUGUAUUAUUGAGAGGUGUGAAGUGUGGUUGUUUGUGAGAAAAAAAUUCAGGACGUUAUUUGUAUUGAUGUUAAUCAUGUUUCGGACUUUGAAUCCUUUAUUCAAAAUUCGGGGCGUGACAGUUUGGUAUCAGAGCGUAAGGUGCAUAUUUGGUGAUGUGUCAAUACCUUCCGAGUGAUGGCCCGUCUGCAGCGGAUCCCCAUCGUGUGCUCUUCGGUAUUGGCUAAGUCAUUGGGUAUGCGUGAGUGUUGGGAGUUGUUUAGGCCGCUAGGUCGUUUAGGGAACGUGAAUACCUUCCCUAUAGUAUUGACUUGGUUAAUAUGAAUUUGUAUUUGACUUAUACUGUGUUUUAAGUGUUAUACAUGUAUUAGCCAAGCAUACUAUACUCCUUAGGUGAUGGAUAUUCGAAGGGGUUGUACUUAGAACCUUACAGUUGUCUUGUAGGUUCGUAUGGGAAUAAGUUCAGUGGCCGCGAGUUACAAUCCUUGAGGAAUAGGAACCUCUUGAUUCAACUCUGUUAAGUCAACGAGGAUUGUUUUAUGGAAAUGAGGUUCUUUUGAUUGUUGAAGUGUUUGGUUGAAGGCAUGGUGUGGACCUAUGCUCGUCUGUAAUGUGGAUACGAGUAUUAAUCGAUGGUAAUUUUGCCUUUUUAAGUUGGAUAUACUAAUGUUCUUGAAUAGAUUCUUGACUCAUGUGGAGUUGUGAGUAGUGUUGCGGUUAGGGAAGGAAUUAUUGCGGUUACUUCUUCCUUGUGCUUGUAAGUUGUUAAGCAGGGUUUAAGGUGCGAGACAAGAAUUUUAUUUUGUGCUCGAUGGUUAGAGAUGAGAGACCAUUGUUUUGGGUUGUCGUUGAGUACUAUAAUUCCUUCAGAAUCAAGAUUGUUGGUAGAAUUGGAAUUAGUAGUAGUUUUGGUGAUUCUGAAUUUGAAUUGAGUUCGCGAGAUGUGUCUUAUAUACGUGGUUGAUGUUGCUUGCAUCAUUUUGGAACGAUACGUUACGA